rnacentral:rRNA from 1 species
UGGGGAAUCUUGGACAAUGGGGGAAACCCUGAUCCAGCCAUGCCGCGUGAGUGAAGAAGGCCUUAGGGUUGUAAAGCUCUUUCGGCGGGGACGAUAAUGACGGUACCCGCAGAAGAAGCCCCGGCUAACUCCGUGCCAGCAGCCGCGGUAAUACGGAGGGGGCUAGCGUUGUUCGGAAUUACUGGGCGUAAAGCGCACGUAGGCGGACUGUUAAGUCGGGGGUGAAAUCCUGGGGCUCAACCUCAGAAUUGCCUUCGAUACUGGCAGUCUUGAGUACGGGAGAGGUGAGUGGAAUUCCCAGUGUAGAGGUGAAAUUCGUAGAUAUUGGGAAGAACACCAGUGGCGAAGGCGGCUCACUGGCCCGUAACUGACGCUGAGGUGCGAAAGCGUGGGGAGCAAACA